rnacentral:rRNA from 1 species
UCCUUACGGGAGGCAGCAGUAGGGAAUCUUCCGCAAUGGACGAAAGUCUGACGGAGCAACGCCGCGUGAGUGAUGAAGGCUUUCGGGUCGUAAAACUCUGUUGUUAGGGAAGAACAAGUGCUAGUUGAAUAAGCUGGCACCUUGACGGUACCUAACCAGAAAGCCACGGCUAACUACGUGCCAGCAGCCGCGGUAAUACGUAGGUGGCAAGCGUUAUCCGGAAUUAUUGGGCGUAAAGCGCGCGCAGGUGGUUUCUUAAGUCUGAUGUGAAAGCCCACGGCUCAACCGUGGAGGGUCAUCGGAAACUGGGAGACUUGAGUGCAGAAGAGGAAAGUGGAAUUCCAUGUGUAGCGGUGAAAUGCGUAGAGAUAUGGAGGAACACCAGUGGCGAAGGCGACUUUCUGGUCUGUAACUGACACUGAGGCGCGAAAGCGUGGGGAGCAAACAGGAUUAGAUACCCUGGUAGUCCACGCCGUAAACGAUGAGUGCUAAGUGUUAGAGGGUUUCCGCCCUUUAGUGCUGAAGUUAACGCAUUAAGCACUCCGCCUGGGGAGUACGGCCGCAAGGCUGAAACUCAAAGGAA